rnacentral:lncRNA from 1 species
AUGUUGCAAUCUUUGUAUCUCUACAGCCUGAAGAAGGCACAAGCCAGUAAAUGUAUUGCUUUAAAUUUGUACAUAAGAAGUGAAGAAAAACUGUCAGAGUACAUCACCGGAGCCAAACCACCUGUGGAUCAAGCACAUGACCCCCUCCAUGACAAGAAUGAGACUGACGAGGACGAAGCGAAGGUCAUCACACGUGAAGCGCUGAAGCUUCAGUCUCAGCUAAUCACUGACUCCAACUCCAAGAGAAAGACCAAGAUGAAGAUGUUGAAGAAGAAGGGCAAGUUAUAA